AUAAGCUCCAUGCUUUUUUCUCGUCAGCGGAGCCUUUAUGCUUUUAAGAUGGAACAGGCCUGUAUUCCACCGAUUCUUUUUCUUUUGUUUAUGCCUUUGGAUUCCAUGUUGCCUUUUGAUUGCACCAUCUAGCGUGGUGGACAUGAUGGUGGUAGUGACGGUGAUUGGCAGUAAUGCCGGCCACGGCGGUAGAUGUGGUGGUGGUGGCGGUGGUGGUGGCGAUGGCAGACAGGUGGUAACCGGCAACUGUGCUUGAUGUAGCAUGGAUGAUAAUGCAGGUAGUCGUGGCGACGACAAAAAGUAUCUUUGAUCUCAUGUGCUUCUUCUUCCUGCAGAAGAAAAAUCCUGUUCAUGCCUUCAUCAUCGGUAAAACAUGGAAUAUGAUUCCUCCAUACGAAAAAGCACAUUGCCAUGCUCAGGUCCUGGACUGUCGACCAAUGGUUUGUGGAGAUGCAGGAGAAAGGUAGGCAGACCAUUGCCAGUUGAAUUUUAGGAGAUGCGUCUAUACAUUGAACUCAUUGGCAUUGAAUUACGGCUUUCUUUGCUGAUACUGAUGCAGUUCUGAACACUAGAUGCAGAGAAAGAUGCAGGAGAAAUAGGGGGGCCUUGGGUUCUUUGCUGAGAACUGGGUUGCAUUCCUCUCACUCACUCGAAAAAGAUGGCAACUGUCCAUAAUAACCGCCAUGAGUAGUUGCUUCUACGGUGGGAAGCCCGAAGGCUUAAGACACAUAUUGUUUCCUGACAUUGAUUAGGAUGUGUCCGGAUUUUCAUAGGAAUUCUGGAGAACAGCUUUUGGGGGUAGGCUUCUUGCCUUUAUCAAGCAAAAAUGGGGUAAGUAUAUACAUCAAGAAAUGCAAAAUAUCCCACUCUCUUGCUCUGGAAACAGAAAAGGUUGGAUGCAACUUCCUUUGGGGUGAUUAUGAGAAUGUCUAUGAAUUUCAUUUAAUUAGUUGGUCUAAUCAGUAUUCCCCUUUGGAGAUUGAAAAAUUUGUCCCACUGAGCAAAGCAUAAAUGAUCUACUUGUCCGAUAGAGCAUGGACAGAAGUGAACCGUGCGCAGAUUUUAUAAGAAGCACUUAAGAUCUCAAAUUACUUUUGGUCUUGGAAAGGAAUGUUGCGGGAUGGGAAGAUUGGGAGUGAUUUGAUUUCUCGAAAGACUGGAAAAUAGUAAGCUUGGGGUUGGGGCAUCCGGCUUUGUGCUCCGAAUGGUCUCGAUUUGAAGACCCAUGCCUCUUGUCGAUCAGCGUCAAUUUCCCAUAUUCCAAUCGCCGUCCGAUCCUUGGAAUGCCCCCUGUUGUUGCUCGUGUUUCUCUUGAAGGGUCCAAGAACACGGUGAUGCGGGCGGGUUUAAGAGGGCGAAAGACAUUACUAGAAGUGAGAGAGAUGUUCAGAUGGUGGUGCGCAAAUGUCUGCUCAGACAUUUGGAGCGGUCCUAAAAGGCAUCGUUUUCAUCUCAUACUGGGCGAAAGCUGUAAAGGGGGAAUGAACAGGCUUGAGUUCUGACCCUUGGCUGCCUUCGAUGAAAAUUGAGUUUAUAGCUUCAGUUUCAUCCAUUUAUAGUGCACGGAAGGUUAGUAGGGAAGAAGGAAAGGAGGCUUUCCUGAAGGUGGAGAUGUCCUUCCUUAAUUCGGAUUUCCUCUGGGCUGAAUUUGUUACGUCGCAAUCCAUCCAGUUGAUUACCACAUCCGAAGCAUUUUGGGCUUUUUUAGUGCGCAUUGUGGACUCCUGGCACUAGAGAACCGUUACGCAGAGGGUUUAGAGGUUGUUUCUCAGCGGUAAUGGGAUGUUUUUAUUCCAUGUAUCUGCCCCAAAAUUGAUUGAGGCAGAUACCUUAAAUACAGAAUUGUCCCAUCAAUCUGCCCAGAUUGAUGAACCAAUGCCUCGCAUCUAACAUCGCUUACUUUCACCCUAUCAGUACUCCGUUUUGGAGGACAAGCGCUGCCAUUAUCAUCGCCUAGACUUGACGGCCUUCAUUUUCCGGUUGCCGGCUUACCUCAUUAUCAGCCUUCAGGUCAGGCUUGCUGGUUUAUCGGCUUCAUGGAGGAGAAUCCUUCCCUUCGAGUUCUUGAGUACUAAAAAGUUCGUGCGUCAACACCAAGAAAGGGACUCGAUUUUUUCUUUUAUGGCAUGGGCUUCAUCGGUUCGCAUGUGGGGAGAUGGCGAUCUUCUUCAACAAAGCUGAAUAUCAUGAUACCGAUGUCUUCAGUCGCAUGUUUCCGACGCUGCACAACUGGAAUCCCUUUUCAAGGAAUGUAAUUGGUAAAAUGGAUUUAG